rnacentral:rRNA from 1 species
UACGAAGGGGGCUAGCGUUGUUCGGAAUUACUGGGCGUAAAGCGCACGUAGGCGGCUUUGUAAGUUAGAGGUGAAAGCCUGAUGCUCAACAUCAGAAUUGCCUUUAAGACUGCAUCGCUUGAACGUCGGAGAGGUAAGUGGAAUUCCGAGUGUAGAGGUGAAAUUCGUAGAUAUUCGGAAGAACACCAGUGGCGAAGGCGGCUUACUGGACGACUGUUGACGCUGAGGUGCGAAAGCGUGGGGAGCAAACAGG